rnacentral:tRNA from 1 species
AAGGAUUUAGGUUAAAGAAACCUGUGACCUUCAAAGUCACCAUUAAAAAAAGUCAGAUUUUAAGCCUUA